rnacentral:miRNA from 1 species
AUGCCAGUCACCUGGGAUCUUGUUAAAACCCAGAUUCUGACUCAGUACAUCUGGAGUGGCCUGAAAAUCUGCAUUUCUAACAAGUGAGGAGGUGAUAUAAAU